rnacentral:rRNA from 1 species
GACGAACGCUGGCGGCGUGCCUAACACAUGCAAGUCGAACGGGACCGGGGGCAACUCCGGUUCAGUGGCGGACGGGUGCGUAACACGUGAGGAACAUGACUUUCGGUGGGGGAUAGCCGGCCCAACGGCCGGGUAAUACCGCGUACGACCUGUUGGGGACAUCCCCGACUGGUGAAAGCAGCAAUUCGCCGAAAGAGUGCCUCGCGGCCUAUCAGCUAGUUGGUGGGGUAACGGCCCACCAAGGCGACGACGGGUAGCUGGUCUGAGAGGAUGGCCAGCCACAUUGGGACUGAGACACGGCCCAGACUCCUACGGGGGGCAGCAGUGGGGAAUAUUGCGCAAUGGGCGAAAGCCUGACGCAGCGACGCCGCGUGUGGGAUGACGGCCUUCGGGUUGUAAACCGCUUUUAGUAGGGAAGAAGCCUUCGGGUGACGGUACCUGCAGAAAAAGGACCGGCUAACUUCGUGCCAGCAGCCGCCGUAACAC